UUAAGUUAGAAAGGGCGCACGGUGGAUGCCUUGACACUAGGAGUCGAUGAAGGACGGGACUAACGCCGAUAUGCUUCGGGGAGCUGUAAGUAAGCUUUGAUCCGAAGAUUUCCGAAUGGGGAAACCCACCAUACGUAAUGGUAUGGUAUCCUUAUCUGAAUACAUAGGGUAAGGAAGACAGACCCAGGGAACUGAAACAUCUAAGUACCUGGAGGAAGAGAAAGCAAAUGCGAUUUCCUGAGUAGCGGCGAGCGAAACGGAACAUAGCCCAAACCAAGAGGCUUGCCUCUUGGGGUUGUAGGACAUUCUAUACGGAGUUACAAAGGAACGAGGUAGACGAAGCGACCUGGAAAGGUCCGUCGUAGAGGGUAACAACCCCGUAGUCGAAACUUCGUUCUCUCUUGAAUGUAUCCUGAGUACGGCGGAACACGUGAAAUUCCGUCGGAAUCUGGGAGGACCAUCUCCCAAGGCUAAAUACUCCCUAGUGAUCGAUAGUGAACCAGUACCGUGAGGGAAAGGUGAAAAGCACCCCGGAAGGGGAGUCAAAGAGAUCCUGAAACCGUGUGCCUACAAAUAGUCAGAGCCCGUUAACGGGUGAUGGCGUGCCUUUUGUAGAAUGAACCGGCGAGUUACGAUCCCGUGCGAGGUUAAGCUGAAGAGGCGGAGCCGCAGCGAAAGCGAGUCUGAAUAGGGCGUUUAGUACGUGGUCGUAGACCCGAAACCAGGUGAUCUACCCAUGUCCAGGGUGAAGUUCAGGUAACACUGAAUGGAGGCCCGAACCCACGCACGUUGAAAAGUGCGGGGAUGAGGUGUGGGUAGCGGAGAAAUUCCAAUCGAACCUGGAGAUAGCUGGUUCUCCCCGAAAUAGCUUUAGGGCUAGCCUUAAGUGUAAGAGUCUUGGAGGUAGAGCACUGAUUGGACUAGGGGUCCUCAUCGGAUUACCGAAUUCAGUCAAACUCCGAAUGCCAAUGACUUAUCCUUAGGAGUCAGACUGCGAGUGAUAAGAUCCGUAGUCAAAAGGGAAACAGCCCAGACCGCCAGCUAAGGUCCCAAAGUGUGUAUUAAGUGGAAAAGGAUGUGGAGUUGCUUAGACAACUAGGAUGUUGGCUUAGAAGCAGCCACCAUUUAAAGAGUGCGUAAUAGCUCACUAGUCGAGUGACUCUGCGCCGAAAAUGUACCGGGGCUAAAUACACCACCGAAGCUGCGGAUUGAUACCAAUGGUAUCAGUGGUAGGGGAGCGUUCUAAGGACAGUGAAGUCAGACCGGAAGGACUGGUGGAGUGCUUAGAAGUGAGAAUGCCGGUAUGAGUAGCGAAAGACGGGUGAGAAUCCCGUCCACCGAAUGCCUAAGGUUUCCUGAGGAAGGCUCGUCCGCUCAGGGUUAGUCAGGACCUAAGCCGAGGCCGACAGGCGUAGGCGAUGGACAACAGGUUGAUAUUCCUGUACCACCUCUUUAUCGUUUGAGCAAUGGAGGGACGCAGAAGGAUAGAAGAAGCGUGCGAUUGGUUGUGCACGUCCAAGCAGUUAGGCUGAUAAGUAGGCAAAUCCGCUUAUCGUGAAGGCUGAGCUGUGAUGGGGAAGCUCCUUAUGGAGCGAAGUCUUUGAUUCCCCGCUGCCAAGAAAAGCUUCUAGCGAGAUAAAAGGUGCCUGUACCGCAAACCGACACAGGUAGGCGAGGAGAGAAUCCUAAGGUGUGCGAGAGAACUCUGGUUAAGGAACUCGGCAAAAUGACCCCGUAACUUCGGGAGAAGGGGUGCUUUCUUAACGGAAAGCCGCAGUGAAUAGGCCCAAGCGACUGUUUAGCAAAAACACAGCUCUCUGCGAAGCCGUAAGGCGAAGUAUAGGGGGUGACACCUGCCCGGUGCUGGAAGGUUAAGGAGAGGGGUUAGCGUAAGCGAAGCUCUGAACUGAAGCCCCAGUAAACGGCGGCCGUAACUAUAACGGUCCUAAGGUAGCGAAAUUCCUUGUCGGGUAAGUUCCGACCCGCACGAAAGGUGUAACGAUUUGGGCACUGUCUCAACCAGAGACUCGGUGAAAUUAUAGUACCUGUGAAGAUGCAGGUUACCCGCGACAGGACGGAAAGACCCCGUGGAGCUUUACUGUAGCCUGAUAUUGAAUUUUGGUACAGUUUGUACAGGAUAGGCGGGAGCCAUUGAAACCGGAGCGCUAGCUUCGGUGGAGGCGCUGGUGGGAUACCGCCCUGACUGUAUUGAAAUUCUAACCUACGGGUCUUAUCGACCCGGGAGACAGUGUCAGGUGGGCAGUUUGACUGGGGCGGUCGCCUCCUAAAGUGUAACGGAGGCGCCCAAAGGUUCCCUCAGAAUGGUUGGAAAUCAUUCGUAGAGUGCAAAGGCAUAAGGGAGCUUGACUGCGAGACCUACAAGUCGAGCAGGGACGAAAGUCGGGCUUAGUGAUCCGGUGGUUCCGCAUGGAAGGGCCAUCGCUCAACGGAUAAAAGCUACCCCGGGGAUAACAGGCUUAUCUCCCCCAAGAGUCCACAUCGACGGGGAGGUUUGGCACCUCGAUGUCGGCUCAUCGCAUCCUGGGGCUGUAGUCGGUCCCAAGGGUUGGGCUGUUCGCCCAUUAAAGCGGUACGCGAGCUGGGUUCAGAACGUCGUGAGACAGUUCGGUCCCUAUCCGUCGUGGGCGUAGGAAAUUUGAGAGGAGCUGUCCUUAGUACGAGAGGACCGGGAUGGACGCACCGCUGGUGUACCAGUUGUUCUGCCAAGGGCAUAGCUGGGUAGCUAUGUGCGGAAGGGAUAAGUGCUGAAAGCAUCUAAGCAUGAAGCCCCCCUCAAGAUGAGAUUUCCCAUAGCGUAAGCUAGUAAGAUCCCUGAAAGAUGAUCAGGUUGAUAGGUUCGAGGUGGAAGCAUGGUGACAUGUGGAGCUGACGAAUACUAAUAGAUCGAGGACUUAACCAU
rnacentral:rRNA from 1 species